GAGGGUAGAGCUCAGUGGUACAGCACAUGCUUAGCAAGCCCAAGGUCCUGGGUUCAAUUCCCAGUGCCUCCU
rnacentral:tRNA from 1 species